AACCAUUUCACAUUGAAACACCGGUUAUUGUAUAAUCACCGAAGUUAAGCAACGUCGAGCCUGGUCAGUACCUAGAUGGGUAAAGCGCUCGGGAAUACCAGGUGCUGUAAU